CGCGGAGGGCGGCGCCUGCGCAGGGCCCGGCGCGGCGGCCCGGCCUUUGAAGUCCCGGCGGCUGCCGCUUUCAUCCUUUCUUUUUUCCCUUGCAGGCCCCUUUGUGUGACUAAAUUUGGCAAGAAUAUGGAUCCGAGCCAGUCUUUCCACGUGUGCUCCCAGCUCCCAGCUGAGAAGGCCAAGGGUUCUCUUCCGGGAGAACCAGUUUGGCUAUUAAGGGAACCUCUCAGCACAGUGCAGAGCAAGAGAAAAAGCAAGAUUUCAGAGAGAAUAGCUGUUUACCAUCAAAGCGAACUGGGUUCCACACAGACAUGGUAUAUUAUACACAGAAACGAAGGAAUUUGCACCAGGGACACGAGCUAGAACUGUUUCUGCACCAGACUGAAGUUACCACUGUCCAAGUCUGCACUGUGUGCUGGCAAAUAGUCCCACUUCUUGCUGCACAGGCCCCUGCAGCUCUGCCAUGUUAAGCCCUGGCCCUUUCUCUGCCCGUGUGGUCAUAGAAGUCAUCCUCCCACCGUCUCCAGACCUGUCCAGGUAAGCAUUCCAAUAUCAUGUGCGAGACAGCUCACAAAAUAAGAAAAUACAAAUGACUGAAAUGUGAUUUGCUCAGCCUCACGCAACUGAGAUUCAGUAUGUCACCAAUCAGAGAGUCAGAGAGUAAAAAGGUUGCCAGCAGGGCAUGGGGGAAAGUCUGAAGAGGUGCUCACUCUCCUGAAUCGUGGAGAGAGAAGAAUAGGUACAACUCCAGUGGAAGCAAUUUGGCAAGAUCAUUAGCAUUGCAACUGCACACGUGCUUUGACCAGCUAUUCCUAGGAAUUUGUCCUGUAGGUAUAGUCUCCUAUAAACUAAACGAUGUGUUUAGAAAAUUCAUCACAGCCUCAUUUGUGACAGAGGUCGGAAUGUUCAGGAGUAAGGGACGAGUUGAAUAAACUGUGGGG
rnacentral:lncRNA from 1 species